UGAAAACAUAGGCCCAGCGGACUUGCCCGCAUACGCCACGGGGCUUUUCCACAUGCUGGUACCAGAUCUACCGCAAGAUGUCCUGUUGCUGGACCGCAUACAUAGGGUAGCGAAACCCUCAUACUUACCUGCAGACAUACCGCGGGACAUAAUACUGAAAAUGCACUACUAUCACGCAAAAGAGGCAGUUCUCAAGGCGAGCAGAGUCCGAAAAGACAUACCAUCGGAAUAUCAGAAAAUUGGGAUCUUUGCU